CAGAAUAUCACCAAAAAGAGGAUUGGGCAAUUUCAAGUCUUUGAUGAACCAUCAUUCCAGGAGCCUGACUUAGCUAUACUGGAGGUGAAGCAAAGCCUGAUCUGUGGAACCUGGGAAUGGCUCUGCAGCACCUGCUCAGGUGCCACCUGUGUGACACUAUCAGGACUCCUCCAAACUGCCAGAGAGGGAGAGGAGGAGUUUGCAUAGCCUGAGGUGGGUUGGUU
rnacentral:lncRNA from 12 species